CCUACGGGAGGCAGCAGUGGGGAAUAUUGGGCAAUGGGCGAAAGCCUGAAGCAGCGACGCCGCGUGAGGGACGAAGGUCUUAGGAUCGUAAACCUCUGUCAGCAGGGAAGAACGGUCACUCUGCUAAUCAGCACUGAAUUGACGGUACCUGCAAAGGAAGCACCGGCCAACUCCGUGCCAGCAGCCGCGGCAAUACGGAGGGUGCGUGCGUUGAUCGGAAUUACUGGGCGUAAAGCGCUCGUAGGCGGUACGUCAAGUGAAGGGUGAAAUCCCCGCGCCCAACGUGGGAACUGCCUUUGAAACUGGCAAGCUGGAGUGGGUGAGAGGAUAGUGGAAU
rnacentral:rRNA from 1 species